UACGAAGGGUGCAAGCGUUACUCGGAAUUACUGGGCGUAAAGCGUGCGCAGGCGGUUAUAUAAGACAGAUGUGAAAUCCCCGGGCUCAACCUGGGACCUGCAUUUGUGACUGCAUCGCUAGAGUACGGUAGAGGGGGAUGGAAUUCCGCGUGUAGCAGUGAAAUGCGUAGAUAUGCGGAGGAACACCGAUGGCGAAGGCAAUCCCCUGGACCUGUACUGACGCUCAUGCACGAAAGCGUGGGGAGCAAACAGG
rnacentral:rRNA from 1 species